GAAAGCGUAAUAGCUCACUGGUCGAGUCGGCCUGCGCGGAAGAUGUAACGGGGCUAAACCAUGCACCGAAGCUGCGGCAGCGACACUAUGUGUUGUUGGGUAGGGGAGCGUUCUGUAAGCCUGCGAAAGUGUGCUGUGAGGCAUGCUGGAGGUAUCAGAAGUGCGAAUGCUGACAUAAGUAACGAUAAAGCGGGUGAAAAGCCCGCUCGCCGGAAGACCAAGGGUUCCUGUCCAACGUUAAUCGGGGCAGGGUGA
rnacentral:rRNA from 1 species